rnacentral:lncRNA from 1 species
GUAUUCGAUAUAAAUUUGUAUCUAAAUUUGCAUCCCAAUAAAAUUCAAAAAAAAUAUGAAUACGAAUAUAAUUUUUUUUAAAAAUCGAACGUAUUCGACAUCGUUUUCACCCCUAAAAGAAAAGAGGGAUGUUAAUAUAUAUUGUAGGGGGACAAAGUGAUUGUCUAUCAUGUUCUUUAUUUAUUUUACUACGAAUUUUAUAUUAAAAUUAUAUUUAUGUUUGGUAAAUAUUAAAUUUUGUUGAAUAAAACAUAACUAUAUGAAGUUUGAAUAUGAAUGUGAACCGUAAAUUAUAUUGUAUCUUAUUUACGCUAAUUCUAGUUCAUAUUUAUAUAUAGAUAUUAGUAUAUAUUAUUAUCUAAAUAAUAUCAGAAUAUAAAUUCGAUUCAAAUCUGAAUCUAAAUCCGAAUCCAUUUUUAACGAAUAUAAUAAUGACUAUUUAGAAUCUGACACAUUUCUGCAUGAUGA